rnacentral:tRNA from 1 species
GCCCUGGUGGAAUAACAUAGGUAAAAUGUUUGACUGCUAACCAAAAGGUUGGUGGUUUGAAUCCAUCUGAUGGCU